GACGAACGCUGGCGGCAUGCCUAAUACAUACAAGUCGAGCGAACAGAUGAAGUGCUUGCACUUCUGACGUUAGCGGCGAACGGGUGAGUAACACGUAAGGAAUCUACCUAUAAGCGGGGGAUAACAUUCGGAAACGGGUGCUAAUACCGCAUAAUAUCUUCUUCCGCAUGGAAGAAGAUUGAAAGACGGCUCUGCUGUCACUUAUAGAUGACCUUGCGGUGCAUUAGUUAGUUGGUGGGGUAAUAGCCUACCAAGACGAUGAUGCAUAGCCGACCUGAGAGGGUGAUCGGCCACAUUGGGACUGAGACACGGCCCAAACUCCUACGGGAGGCAGCAGUAGGGAAUCUUCCGCAAUGGGCGAAAGCCUGACGGAGCAAUGCCGCGUGAGUGAAGAAGGCCUUCGGGUCGUAAAACUCUGUUAUAAGAGAAGAACAAAUUGUAGAGUAACUGCUACAGUCUUGACGGUAUCUUAUCAGAAAGCCACGGCUAACUACGUGCCAGCCGCCGCAGUAA
rnacentral:rRNA from 1 species